rnacentral:rRNA from 1 species
CCUACGGGUGGCAGCAGUGGGGAAUAUUGGACAAUGGGGGCAACCCUGAUCCAGCCAUGCCGCGUGUGUGAAGAAGGCCCUCGGGUUGUAAAGCACUUUCAGUGAGGAAGAACGCCUGGUGGUUAAUACCCAUCAGGAAAGACAUCACUCACAGAAGAAGCACCGGCUAACUCCGUGCCAGCAGCCGCGGUAAUACGGAGGGUGCGAGCGUUAAUCGGAAUUACUGGGCGUAAAGCGCGCGUAGGUGGCUUGAUAAGCCGGUUGUGAAAGCCCCGGGCUCAACCUGGGAACGGCAUCCGGAACUGUCAAGCUAGAGUGCAGGAGAGGAAGGUAGAAUUCCCGGUGUAGCGGUGAAAUGCGUAGAGACCGGGAGGAAUACCAGUGGCGAAGGCGGCCUUCUGGACUGACACUGACACUGAGGUGCGAAAGCGUGGGUAGCAAACAGGAUUAGAUACCCGGGUAGUC